GGCACAGUGUUAAUGACCAACCCGGGCCUGCGGGGCCGCCAUGGCAGGCUUCCUGGAUAACGUCCGCUGGCCGGAGUGGGAGUGCAUCGACUGGAGCGAGCGGAGGAACGCCGUGGCCUCUGUGGUCGCAGGCGUAUUGUUCUCCGCAGGCUGGUGGGUGAUGAUCGACGCGGCCGUGGUGUACGCGAAGCCCGAGCAGCUGAACCCCGCCUUCCACACCUGCGGGGUGUUCUCCACACUGGCCUUCUUCAUGAUAAACGCGGUGUCCAAUGCCCAGGUGAGAGGCGACAGCUACGAGAGCGGCUGUUUGGGAAGAACAGGUGCUCGCGUCUGGCUCUUCAUCGGCUUCAUGUUGAUGUUCGGGUCACUCAUUGCUUCCAUGUGGAUUCUCUUUGGUGCCUAUGUGACCCAGAGUAAAUACUGACGUUUACCCGGGGCUGGCGGUGUUUUUCCAGAACGCACUGAUAUUCUUAAGCACGCUCAUCUACAAGUUCGGGAGAACUGAAGAGCUGUGGACCUAGAUCACUCUGAAACCUCAUUUCCUCUGCCAUAUCCUAUUUGUAGAUACGUUUUUAUUAUCUUUUCAUGUAGUUUCCACAUCGUCAAAUAGAAUAGGUUGCACAUUGAAUGUGUUGCUUUACACUGUUAUGCUCUGAGUUUUGAAAUAGUUUUAUUUGUUUUCUGUUUUUUAUGGCUAGAUUGUUAAUAUGUAUAUGAGACUAUGCAGAUAGAUGGUGAGCACCAGCCUUUUAUUCCUGCUUGGGCUUGGUCUGCGUCCUGAGUCAGGUGUGUCAUCACACGAUUUAGAGGUAACUGCUUUGCUUCAAAGAUGUACAAGAAAGUGCAACUCCGUGUAGCUGAGAUAAGUGCCAAGCCAUUCAAAGGGUGUUUCAGCAAAUUGUUAUUUUGUCUUAAAAGUGAGGUUUUUUAAAGGAAAUGUUUGUUCUUGUGUAUUAAAGAAGUGGAUUUUUAUAUGAAUUUUUAAAUGCCCGAAGGACUAGUUUGAAAGCCUAUUUUGGAAACGACUCCUUGACUCUGAUUGAGGAGGGGGGUCCCCGAUGCGCUGAGCUCGCUUUCGUGUGGUUCCGUGAAGACCGGAGGGCGGCAGGCGGCUCAGCAGCAGGCGUCCUGCACCGCGAGGGUCGCCAGCGAGCAAGUCUGAGGAGCUGCGCUCAGAAGCAUGACCCGCAGGCCAAGCGUGGACUCGUUUCAGGACGAAGUCCUUCCUCCCAAGGGGAAUGCUUACGGCCUGGUGAGAAGUUCGGCUUUUGUCUCGGCUCCAGCUCUGGGCAUGCGCUUCCUGCAGGUGCCUCUGUCCUGAGACACCAUGGCCCCACCAGACAGCUGUCCGCGAAGCUGGAAGCACCGCCCUGGUGUUCCGGCCGGAGUCCAGGGUCCCGGGCCCUGACCGCUGCGGCGGCCUCCUGGCCCUGCGGGUCUGUGUCACACGUUUGCCUCCGGGGAAUGUCACAGCCUUCCACAUGGAUGCUGUGGGUGAGCCGCCCGCAGCCUGCGGGCCUCGGCGCCCCUCUCCGCGGGACCACGUGCGCGGGGAGAUGCUGACACGGCUCCCCGUGUCCUGCGGCCGUCUUCCCUGGGACUCACGCUCUCUCACCAUGUCAGUGCGUUUGUGCUGCUGCCAACGUUGUCAGGCUAAUUACUUGUUCCCCCUCUCUUGUCGCCUGUUGCAAUAAUUGCUCCCCACACAUCCUAAUGUUAUUAAAUCUUGGAGAAAACAGCCAUACAAA